rnacentral:tRNA from 1 species
CCGCCAUUAGCUUAUCAGGAAGAGCAGACGACACCAUAACAGGGUUGUUGGUGCGGGGUUCGAGUCUCCGAUGGCGGUCCA